CUUGAUUACUCUGACAGCCCCUCUCUGUGUCCCACCAGGGGUAAAAAUGUCCUGAGCAGUGGCCACUGGGACAGAGGAGAACCUGGUGGCCAGGGCUAAGCAUCCAGGAUCCUGGAUUUGGGGACAGGCAAACUCACUUGUGGAGGACAGUGAUAGACAGGGCCGCCAGGGCCUGGGUGAAGAGGGCAGGAGGGCUCAGGACACUGGAGGCUGUGUGGGGGUCACAGCCACGAUCUAUACCACCCAUGUAUGCUCCUGCAUUGCUCACCUUUGUGUGGACAUCAGAUGGCCCCAUCUUCCACGCUCCUGAGACCCCACAUGCAUUCACAGAGGAACCCAGGCUGGGGCAGUGCAUGGCCUUGGUCCCUGGGGUAGUGGGAAGACAGCUGAGUGCUUGGCUGGCUGGGCAGGGCUCCUGUGAAUCCUGCCCUUUCCUGUGUAGGGUCCACCCCAGCCUGACUCCCAACCCCCUACUCCUGUCUCCCAGGAAAGAGAGACUGGGGUUGAGAAAAGGUGGAGAUAUUUUCCCUGUGUGAGCUGGGAGAGAAUGGACGUGGAGUUUCAGAUGAGGAAACUGAGGCCUAGGAGGUUGAGUGUCUUGCCCAAGGUCAAACACCUGGUAUAUUCCCGGCACUGACUGUCAGGCCUCUGAGCCCACGCUAAGCCAUCAUAACCUGUGACCUGCACGUAUACAUCCAGAUGGCCUGGAGCAACUGAAGAACCACAAAAGAAGUGAAACAGCCAAUUCCUGCCUUAACUGAUGACAGUCCACCGUUGUGAUUUGUUCCUGCCGCACCCUAACUAAUCAAUUGACCUUGUGACAUUCCCCCCCGGACAAUGAAUCUCAUGAUCUCUCCACCGUGCACCUUGUGACCCGCCCCCUGCCCACAAGAGAUAACUACCUUUAACUGUAAUUUUCCACUACCUACCCAAAUCCUGUAAAACUGUCCCACCCCCAUCUCCCUUUGCUGACUCCUUUUUCAGAUUCAGCCCACUUGCACCCAAGUGAAUAAACAGCCUCGUUGCUCACACAAAGCCUGUUUGGUGGUCUCUUCACACGGACGUGCGUAACACUGACCCUGAUAGUUGACACAAGGGAUUUAGUUCCAGAUAAAAACUGGUGAAUUCUCCUAUUGUUCCUCAC
rnacentral:lncRNA from 1 species